rnacentral:lncRNA from 1 species
UACUACUGACAUGCAUGUGAUGGCCCAAAACAAUACUAUCAAUUUGACAUCAAUUAACAUAUAACUAAGUUCUUUUUUCUUUAUUCUAUGAUGAUAAAUAAAAUCUUUUUAUCUUAUUUAUUGAUAUCACUAGCCAUUACCAGUAUGGCUAUUCAAGGGUAUGUCAAUGCUAAUCCACCUAGUAUCAUUAGCUUUUAUUCCAUUGAAUAACUAAUUAAAUUUUCUAAUACAUAAUUCAAUGUCAACUCAACAUAAUUAGAUUCACGUAAAUUAGUCAUGUUCAUCAAAUCAUCAACUCCAACCUUGCUACUUGGGCCUACCUCCUCCAUGAAAUCCGAUGGUGCGGCUAUUUAAAUCAAGAUCUGUAAAGAACAAAUGACAAAAUCAUCAACAACACAACUGUAAUUCGGAAUUACACGUUAUUUCCCUUUAAAACACCACUGAAAAAAUCCGUGGGGGGAUUUGGACCUAGUACGUAAAGGAUCAAGAUUUGUUGCAGCAUCUUCAUUAUUUAUUUGAUAAGGUAGCAUUUGCUACAUUUGGAUUCUCGUGAUUUUUAAAACAUCCGGACAUCACAGCCAUUGAUUAAAAUUUUAAUAUCUCAACUAGAAAAAAAAAAACAAACAGAUAUCUAAUUUCUUGUUCUUAAAAAAAAAAUUAGUUCAAGGAGUUGCCAUUUAAUAUUAUGCUCACUAUAAACUCUAACUAAUCAACAGAGAUUCUACAGUACGAGAUUGGUUACGCAAAAAAAUAAAUGCUAUCACCCCUUAAGUAUCUUAUCUGAGGCAGACUGCAUUACUUUUGUCUAAAAUUACUAAUAAUUUUUUUUUUAUUCUUUUUUUUAUGCUCCUGACUCUAGCGUCCGUGAACAAUUUCUAUGAAAAUUUCCAAUUCUAGCGUUGGUAAAUAUUGCACAAAUCCAGAAAAUAUGAUAUUCAUGACUAUGACACCAGUAAAUAAUUUCGCAAAAAACUAAAUUUGAAGAAGAAAUUUUUUAUACCAUUUUUUUCUUGUUUAACCUUUAUUAUCAUUUGCCCUUAUUAGAUGAAAAUAAAAAAGACAUUGCACAACAAAUUUUGUGUUUAAUAAUAUGACUAAAAAUAUAAAACGUGAAGAAAAAAAUAAAAUAAAGUGUGAGGAGCCCAUAAAUAAAUCAAUGAAGAUCCCCAAAUAUUUUUAAAAUUUUUUGAUAUAAAAAAGAGGCUCGUUUGGUCAAAUUGCAAACUAUAAUAAACAUAAAAAUUAUGAUCAAGGUAUAAAGAUAUGUUUUGCCAAACAUACCUUUAAUAAACACAAUUUGAGCUGGCUGGGCCUAAAACCCAAACCCGGCCCACUCUCUUUUUUUUUUACUUUUUUUUGGGUGGCGGGUCUAGCCCAACCAUAUAGAUUGGACUAAAUCCAGUUGACCGGCCCGGUUACUGGUUCAAACCAGUAACCCAGCCGGUUAAAUCUCUUUGGCUGCAAGCGUGUGUGAACUUUUCACGCACGCUUGCUACAGGGACGGGGUUAUUAAAAUGCAGAGUGAACAGUUCUAAUGAAUUAAAAUGAGACUUACCUGGUUUUGCUGAAAAUUUGCGCGAGAUUGCUGAUGCUGGGCGGCGUUCCUGCUUUCAAGUUUUCUCUU